AGUCGAGCGAGUCUGCCUUGAAAUCGGAGUGCUUGCACUCUGUGAAACAAGAUACAGGCUAGCGGCGGACGGGUGAGUAACACGUGGGUAACCUGCCCAAGAGAUCGGGAUAACACCUGGAAACAGAUGCUAAUACCGGAUAACAACAGAUGAUGCCUAUCAACUGUUUAAAAGAUGGUUCUGCUAUCACUCUUGGAUGGACCUGCGGUGCAUUAGCUAGUUGGUAGGGUAACGGCCUACCAAGGCGAUGAUGCAUAGCCGAGUUGAGAGACUGAUCGGCCACAUUGGGACUGAGACACGGCCCAAACUCCUACGGGAGGCAGCAGUAGGGAAUCUUCCACAAUGGACGCAAGUCUGAUGGAGCAACGCCGCGUGAGUGAAGAAGGGUUUCGGCUCGUAAAGCUCUGUUGUUGGUGAAGAAGGACAGGGGUAGUAACUGACCUUUGUUUGACGGUAAUCAAUUAGAAAGUCACGGCUAACUACGUGCCAGCAGCCGCGGUAAUACGUAGGUGGCAAGCGUUGUCCGGAUUUAUUGGGCGUAAAGCGAGUGCAGGCGGCUCGAUAAGUCUGAUGUGAAAGCCUUCGGCUCAACCGGAGAAUUGCAUCAGAAACUGUCGAGCUUGAGUACAGAAGAGGAGAGUGGAAC
rnacentral:rRNA from 1 species